rnacentral:rRNA from 1 species
GACGAACGCUGGCGGCGUGCUUAACACAUGCAAGUCGAGCGGUAAGGCCCUUUCGGGGGUACACGAGCGGCGAACGGGUGAGUAACACGUGGGUGACCUGCCCUCCAGCUCUGGGAUAAAGCCUGGGAAACCGGGUCGUAAUACCGGAUAUGACUCCAUGACGCAUGUUGUGGGGUGGAAAGCCUUGUGCGGCUGAGGAUGGGCCCGCGGCCUAUCAGCUUGUUGGUGGGGUGGAUGGCCUACCAAGGCGACGACGGGUAGCCGGCCUGAGAGGGCGACCGG